GAUGAACGCUAGCUACAGGCUUAACACAUGCAAGUCGAGGGGUAACGAGAGGAAAGCUUGCUCUCCUUGUCGACGACCGGCGCACGGGUGAGUAACGCGUAUCCAACCUGCCCCCAACUAGGGAAUAACCUUGCGAAAGUAAGACUAAUACCCUAUAAUUUCCUCAGAUGUCAUCUGACGAGGAAUAAAGAUUUAUCGGUUGUGGAUGGGGAUGCGUCUGAUUAGCUUGUUGGCGGGGUAACGGCCCACCGAGGCAACGAUCAGUAGGGGUUCUGAGAGGAAGGUCCCCCACAUUGGAACUGAGACACGGUCCAAACUCCUACGGGAGGCAGCAGUGAGGAAUAUUGGUCAAUGGGCGGAAGCCUGAACCAGCCAAGUAGCGUGCAGGAUGACGGCCCUAUGGGUUGUAAACUGCUUUUAUACAGGAAUAAAGUUAGCCACGUGUGGUUAUUUGUAGGUACUGUAUGAAUAAGGACCGGCUAAUUCCGUGCCAGCAGCCGCCGUAACAC
rnacentral:rRNA from 1 species